AAAUCCUUUGAAACCCAUAUUUUUUUUUGUCUGAAAAGGAAGGGUUUUUUUUCCAUGGGUGUUGAAGGAGGUCCGAAGAUGAACAGAGGAGGAGAUCAACGGCUGAGAUUGGCCAGACCCACCACAAUCCACGGCCGUGCUCAGUCCGGCGACCUCCUGGGCUUGCGUAGGAUGCUUAAAGACAGCCCUUCUCUUCUCAACGAGCGUAAUCCCUUUGUGAAAUCUCUCGCAUUCGCUGCAUUUCUCGAAGUUCCUUUCCUCCUGGGUUUGUUUAAACAUCUAUCCUGUGGAUUGCUCGGCGUGAAAUGGGAAUCCGAAAAGUUUGGUUUUUGUGGUUUGUUUUGUCGAAUUUGUAACGAUUCGAGCUUAGGGUUGGGUUAGAAUCGGGUAAUUUGUCUUUGGUGUAGCUUGAGGUUUGGAAACUGGUCGUAAAGCUUGAGUUUUCCGGCAAUGUGAAUCGCAUGCUUUCAGAAAUGAUUCUGACUUAUAGAUAUGGCGUGUUGUAGAAAUCCAUCUGGAAAAUUUCCUGUCCAGAUUCUUGGUUUCCCGUAGAUUCUGCCUGAAUUUGAGAGAAACCAUAUCUAUGUGCUCAGUAAAGCAUUCUGUUGGCAAGAGUUUUGUCCUUUUCACUAUGUUUGCUGCAACUGGUUUGAUUUGAAUGCAGACGUCUCCAGACACCGUUUCAUGUUUCUGCCUGUAAUGGCGAGGUCGAUAUAUCGUCAAGUAUUUCGCUUGAUUGACCGAUGUUCUUCAGUAUGGUGAAGCUCCAUUGGACAUGGCAGCCAAGAACUGAUGCAAUGAAGCUGCAAACCUGCUUCUUGUCCAUGGAUUUGGUGCUCUUGUCAAGCCAAACCAAGUGAAGCUAUGAGUCCAUUAGACCAUCUACCUCAAGGACCAGGAAGUAACAAAUUGAGAGAAAGAAAAACGAGCCAUAGUAGCUUGUGGUGAGACAAAAUCUAAAAUGCAUCUACUUGAGAACGAGUUAUCGAAUAUUGUCGGGUUAAGUGAGUUGAAGGUGCAUCCACAUCAGGAAAUGGGCUAAAGGGAUGAUUUUACACAAGAAAAACAGUAGAGCUCUAGGGCUAAAACCAUGGUAAAAAAAACUCGAGUUCUAGGAAAGUUGCUUCACAUGGUUGGACUUUUACCGACCGAUAAGGUAACAGAAGUGCGACGCACAGAUUUGGUCGGUGAAUUUGUCCGUCACACAGGGACAAAGACCAGGAAAAAGAUCCAAGAAGCCGAAGGAGGGAUAAUGUUUAUGGAUGAAGCAUACCGGUAAAUCCCCCAUGCGGAAGGCAAGGUGAUGACACAGACUAUGGUCUAGAAGCCCUAGAAGAGAUAAUGUUGUUAAUGGACACGGGGGAAAGUGAGCAAAUGUAACGAGUGAUUGCAUCAAACGAGGGGUUCUGCAGAAGGGUCUCGAUGACUUCAGCUCCAAGGAACUGGCGAAGCUACUGCACAUGAAGAUGAACAACCAGACUGAAGCAAACCCAGUUCAUGGUUUCACUGGAGGAUAUAGAGCUGAUCUUCGGGAAUUCUGCAGGAGGGCCUCUAGUUAUGUUCCUCCUCCACCCUCAGGAAUCUUGUGAAGAGACUCGAGAGAGGUUUGGUUUUUAAGAUAAUGGUCUCAUCAUCUCUUUGGUGAUGACAUUAUAUCAUAUUCUUUGUUCUUUGUCUGAAACGUUUUUUGGUAGCGAGCAAUAUUGUUUUGGUACUUUUCUAUCCAAAUGUUGCUAAUUAUCGAGAAUA